GGACACUCGGGGAAGGCAUGGGGGGGCUGCAGGUGGAGCCUGGGGGCACCUGGCCCCAAGUAUUGCUGGAGCUGGGCCCCUGGCUCUGAAUAUUGCUGGUGCCCGAGCACCACGUGGAUAUGGAACUCGCUGCCUAUGAAAACAGGGAAAUUCAGUGGUUGAAACUCUGGGCCAAGUUCUCAGCAUGUGUAAACAGACAACUUUCCACUGAAACCAAAGGGGCUGUACCUAUUUGCGUUAAACAAGAAAUUGGCCUCCUGGUAUCUCUCAUCCCAUCGGUGCUUAGGAAAACUUGAUACCUCGGUGUUACAUUACAUUCCUACAUUGAUCUAGAAAUCUCAGUGAAAUCGAGGUUACCAACAUUGACCAAUAAAAAAAAAAAAAUGUAUGGUUUGAUUUAUUCAAGAUGGGACAGGAAAAGAUAUUGAAGGUGCAAGAGACCAUAAAAGAACAUUUGUUGUAACUGCUCUCCUUAUUGAGUUCUGGAUUGUCACUGAACGGUGACUACAGUACCAUUACACUGGGAAAUGGGUGGCACCUUCCUCCGCCCCAGCCUAUGACACUUCUCUGGCACCAAAGUGAACAAAUACAAUGAUGUUUCUGAUCUACCCAACGGCAUUAGGGGAGUGUUAUGAGCAGAAGCAUCAUGGGCAGCAAGGGUAAGACACAAAGGAUCAAACAAAACAACAACAUCAGGGGACAGGCGCUUAAAGAAGGAAAGAGGAAAGAUGGCCUAGUGCAGCAUUUCUCAAAUGCAGGCAGUGUGGCUGCAUGCAGCCACAAGGGGCUUUUCUUGCCGUCACAGCCUCCUGGGCAGUGAUUGGGGGUGGGGGCAAAGCAGUGGUUCCUCCCCUUGGGCUAUAAGCAUGUGUUGAGCCCUGACCCCCUUUGGAGCCACAAGCGCCAGAGGAGCAGACAGCCGGUGUGAUUUCCCCACCUUCCUGGGGGCAGUGGGGCUCAGGCUUCCGGCUUCAGGCCUGGGGUGGCAGGCUCCAGCCACAGGCUCCAACCAUGGGGCUUUCGGCUCCGGGUUUUGGCUGUGCAGUGGCGGGCACAGUUUCCCUGGUCUCUGGAUUCACCACCCCCCUCAUCACCCUUGGCCCCCGCUGUCUCCUUACCCACCUCCCCAUCCAGGGCUUAAUUUGUCACCCGGCUUGCCAGGGCUGAGUAAGUCUGCUCUGAAAAGUGGUAUGUGUAUGUUUGUAAAUAUCACUCAUCACUGCCUCAGAGCUAGAUAACAAGUCUGCUGCUCUGAAAAGUGAUACUAACAAAUAUAUAAAUAUCACUUUUCACAGGAGCCGACUUACUAGCUAGCGAGUGAAAAAAAAAAAAAACCACAACCAAAAAAGCAAAAAACCCAACAACAACAAAAAAGACCAGAACAUGCAAAACACCUUAUUUGUGUUUCUAUUCUGUUUAGGUCCAGUAAAAAAUAGAGACAACUGUACAUUAUUAUUACUAUUGAGUGUGCAAAU